GACAGAGGGUGCAAACGUUGCUCGGAAUCACUGGGCGUAAAGGGCGUGUAGGCGGAUAGAUAAGUCGGGCGUGAAAUCCCCAGGCUCAACCUGGGAACUGCACUCGAAACUGUUUAUCUUGAGUGCCGGAGAGGAAAGCGGAAUUCCUGGUGUAGAGGUGAAAUUCGUAGAUAUUAGGAAGAACACCAGUGGCGAAGGCGGCCCACUGGGCCGGUACUGACGCUGAGGUGCGAAAGCGUGGGGAGCAAACAGG
rnacentral:rRNA from 1 species